CAGUCGCCGCGGGAAUACGUAGGUCCCGAGCGUUGUCCGGAUUUAUUGGGCGUAAAGCGAGCGCAGGCGGUUAGAAAAGUCUGAAGUGAAAGGCAGUGGCUCAACCAUUGUAGGCUUUGGAAACUGUUUAACUUGAGUGCAGAAGGGGAGAGUGGAAUUCCAUGUGUAGCGGUGAAAUGCGUAGAUAUAUGGAGGAACACCGGUGGCGAAAGCGGCUCUCUGGCUUGUAACUGACGCUGAGGCUCGAAAGCGUGGGGAGCAAACAGGAUUAGAUACCCCAGUAGUCCCUGUCUCUUAUACA
rnacentral:rRNA from 1 species